UGGGGAAUAUUGGGCAAUGGGCGCAAGCCUGACCCAGCAACGCCGCGUGAAGGAAGAAUGUUUUCGGAUUGUAAACUUCUGUCCUCUGGGACGAAAAAAAUGACGGUACCAGAGGAGGAAGCCCCGGCUAACUACGUGCCAGCAGCCGCGGUAAUACGUAGGGGGCUAGCGUUGUCCGGAAUUACUGGGCGUAAAGGGAGCGUAGGCGGUUUGUUAAGUCGGAUGUGAAAUACCCGGGCUCAACCUGGGGGGUGCAUCCGAAACUGGCGAACUUGAGUGCAGGAGAGGUAAGUGGAAUUCCUAGUGUAGCGGUGGAAUGCGUAGAUAUUAGGAGGAACACCAGUGGCGAAGGCGGCUUACUGGACUGUAACUGACGCUGAGGCUCGAAAGCGUGGGGAGCAAACA
rnacentral:rRNA from 1 species